rnacentral:rRNA from 1 species
UACGUAGGGCGCAAGCGUUGUCCGGAAUUAUUGGGCGUAAAGAGCUCGUAGGCGGCCUGUCGCGUCUGCUGUGAAAUCCCGGGGCUUAACCCCGGGCGUGCAGUGGAUACGGGCUGGCUGGAGGCAGGCAGGGGAGAACGGAAUUCCCGGUGUAGCGGUGAAAUGCGCAGAUAUCGGGAGGAACACCGGUGGCGAAGGCGGUUCUCUGGGCCUGUUCUGACGCUGAGGAGCGAAAGCGUGGGGAGCGAACGGG